rnacentral:rRNA from 1 species
UACGAAGGGGGCUAGCGUUGUUCGGAUUUACUGGGCGUAAAGCGCACGUAGGCGGAUUGUUAAGUCAGGGGUGAAAUCCUGGAGCUCAACUCCAGAACUGCCUUUGAUACUGGCAAUCUAGAGUCCGGAAGAGGUGAGUGGAACUCCUAGUGUAGAGGUGGAAUUCGUAGAUAUUAGGAAGAACACCAGUGGCGAAGGCGGCUCACUGGUCCGGUACUGACGCUGAGGUGCGAAAGCGUGGGAGCAA